CGGCUGCGUGGCGCAAUGGUAGCGCGUUCGCCUCCUAAAAAGGUGGCUUUCAAGCGAAAGGUUUCGAGUUCGAGUCUCGACGUGGUCGGAGCUAG
rnacentral:tRNA from 1 species